GGUUUGGAAGGCUGACUAGAAUGCUUGGACUUCUAGCCAGGCCUCUUCCAGGCUGCUGGGUUCAUGCGUCAGAGAACACAGCCGUCACUGACUGACACAGGACCGUCUUCCCAUCCCUUCAGGCCUCUCUCUGCUCACUAACCUCAUGGCUGCGGAUGCGGUCCUCCAGGUCUGCCAGUGGAGCAGAUCGGUUCAGCGGUGUCCGAGCCCAGGGUCUGCAGCUCUACGCCCAGUCUGGAAUGAGGAGACGAGAGAGGCGUGUCUCUCUCCCAGCCCAUCCCCAGCACACACCGCCUCAAAGGAAAGCAUUGGCCUUGGUGCCUGUGGGCAUCUUGGGGUGAGCGACCUGGAGGCCGUUGCUACAGCUUCCGGGU